rnacentral:rRNA from 1 species
UACGGGGGGGGCAAGCGUUGUUCGGAGUUACUGGGCGUAAAGGGUUCGUAGGUGGCUUGCUAAGUCAGACGUGAAAUCCCUCAGCUUAACUGGGGAACUGCGUCUGAGACUGGCGAGCUUGAGGGUAGGAGAGGAACGCAGAAUUCCAGGUGUAGCGGUGAAAUGCGUAGAUAUCUGGAGGAAUACCGGUGGCGAAGGCGGCGUUCUGGACUACAUCUGACACUGAGGAACGAAAGCCAGGGGAGCAAACGGG